rnacentral:rRNA from 1 species
AGCGUACACGGUGGAUGCCCUGGCAGUCAGAGGCGAUGAAGGACGUGCUAAUCUGCGAUAAGCGUCGGUAAGGUGAUAUGAACCGUUAUAACCGGCGAUUUCCGAAUGGGGAAACCCAGUGUGAUUCGUCACACUAUCAUUAACUGAAUCCAUAGGUUAAUGAGGCGAACCGGGGGAACUGAAACAUCUAAGUACCCCGAGGAAAAGAAAUCAACCGAGAUUCCCCCAGUAGCGGCGAGCGAACGGGGAGCAGCCCAGAGCCUGAAUCAGUGUGUGUGUUAGUGGAAGCGUCUGGAAAGGCGCGCGAUACAGGGUGACAGCCCCGUACACAAAAAUGCACAUGCUGUGAGCUCGAUGAGUAGGGCGGGACACGUGGUAUCCUGUCUGAAUAUGGGGGGACCAUCCUCCAAGGCUAAAUACUCCUGACUGACCGAUAGUGAACCAGUACCGUGAGGGAAAGGCGAAAAGAACCCCGGCGAGGGGAGUGAAAAAGAACCUGAAACCGUGUACGUACAAGCAGUGGGAGCACGCUUAGGCGUGUGACUGCGUACCUUUUGUAUAAUGGGUCAGCGACUUAUAUUCUGUAGCAAGGUUAACCGAAUAGGGGAGCCGAAGGGAAACCGAGUCUUAACUGGGCGUUAAGUUGCAGGGUAUAGACCCGAAACCCGGUGAUCUAGCCAUGGGCAGGUUGAAGGUUGGGUAACACUAACUGGAGGACCGAACCGACUAAUGUUGAAAAAUUAGCGGAUGACUUGUGGCUGGGGGUGAAAGGCCAAUCAAACCGGGAGAUAGCUGGUUCUCCCCGAAAGCUAUUUAGGUAGCGCCUCGUGAAUUCAUCUCCGGGGGUAGAGCACUGUUUCGGCAAGGGGGUCAUCCCGACUUACCAACCCGAUGCAAACUGCGAAUACCGGAGAAUGUUAUCACGGGAGACACACGGCGGGUGCUAACGUCCGUCGUGAAGAGGGAAACAACCCAGACCGCCAGCUAAGGUCCCAAAGUCAUGGUUAAGUGGGAAACGAUGUGGGAAGGCCCAGACAGCCAGGAUGUUGGCUUAGAAGCAGCCAUCAUUUAAAGAAAGCGUAAUAGCUCACUGGUCGAGUCGGCCUGCGCGGAAGAUGUAACGGGGCUAAACCAUGCACCGAAGCUGCGGCAGCGACGCUUAUGCGUUGUUGGGUAGGGGAGCGUUCUGUAAGCCUGCGAAGGUGUGCUGUGAGGCAUGCUGGAGGUAUCAGAAGUGCGAAUGCUGACAUAAGUAACGAUAAAGCGGGUGAAAAGCCCGCUCGCCGGAAGACCAAGGGUUCCUGUCCAACGUUAAUCGGGGCAGGGUGAGUCGACCCCUAAGGCGAGGCCGAAAGGCGUAGUCGAUGGGAAACAGGUUAAUAUUCCUGUACUUGGUGUUACUGCGAAGGGGGGACGGAGAAGGCUAUGUUGGCCGGGCGACGGUUGUCCCGGUUUAAGCGUGUAGGCUGGUUUUCCAGGCAAAUCCGGAAAAUCAAGGCUGAGGCGUGAUGACGAGGCACUACGGUGCUGAAGCAACAAAUGCCCUGCUUCCAGGAAAAGCCUCUAAGCAUCAGGUAACAUCAAAUCGUACCCCAAACCGACACAGGUGGUCAGGUAGAGAAUACCAAGGCGCUUGAGAGAACUCGGGUGAAGGAACUAGGCAAAAUGGUGCCGUAACUUCGGGAGAAGGCACGCUGAUAUGUAGGUGAAGCGACUUGCUCGUGGAGCUGAAAUCAGUCGAAGAUACCAGCUGGCUGCAACUGUUUAUUAAAAACACAGCACUGUGCAAACACGAAAGUGGACGUAUACGGUGUGACGCCUGCCCGGUGCCGGAAGGUUAAUUGAUGGGGUCAGCGCAAGCGAAGCUCUUGAUCGAAGCCCCGGUAAACGGCGGCCGUAACUAUAACGGUCCUAAGGUAGCGAAAUUCCUUGUCGGGUAAGUUCCGACCUGCACGAAUGGCGUAAUGAUGGCCAGGCUGUCUCCACCCGAGACUCAGUGAAAUUGAACUCGCUGUGAAGAUGCAGUGUACCCGCGGCAAGACGGAAAGACCCCGUGAACCUUUACUAUAGCUUGACACUGAACAUUGAGCCUUGAUGUGUAGGAUAGGUGGGAGGCUUUGAAGUGUGGACGCCAGUCUGCAUGGAGCCGACCUUGAAAUACCACCCUUUAAUGUUUGAUGUUCUAACGUUGACCCGUGAUCCGGGUUGCGGACAGUGUCUGGUGGGUAGUUUGACUGGGGCGGUCUCCUCCUAAAGAGUAACGGAGGAGCACGAAGGUUGGCUAAUCCUGGUCGGACAUCAGGAGGUUAGUGCAAUGGCAUAAGCCAGCUUGACUGCGAGCGUGACGGCGCGAGCAGGUGCGAAAGCAGGUCAUAGUGAUCCGGUGGUUCUGAAUGGAAGGGCCAUCGCUCAACGGAUAAAAGGUACUCCGGGGAUAACAGGCUGAUACCGCCCAAGAGUUCAUAUCGACGGCGGUGUUUGGCACCUCGAUGUCGGCUCAUCACAUCCUGGGGCUGAAGUAGGUCCCAAGGGUAUGGCUGUUCGCCAUUUAAAGUGGUACGCGAGCUGGGUUUAGAACGUCGUGAGACAGUUCGGUCCCUAUCUGCCGUGGGCGCUGGAGAACUGAGGGGGGCUGCUCCUAGUACGAGAGGACCGGAGUGGACGCAUCACUGGUGUUCGGGUUGUCAUGCCAAUGGCACUGCCCGGUAGCUAAAUGCGGAAGAGAUAAGUGCUGAAAGCAUCUAAGCACGAAACUUGCCCCGAGAUGAGUUCUCCCUGACUCCUUGA